rnacentral:lncRNA from 1 species
UAGGUGAGGUCAUAUCACUCGUUGCACUACACCUUCCCCAAAAAAAGGGUAAAUAACUGAAUUUAGGUGAUCCCUUUCGUCUCGUUAGUGAAGGUGCUGCCUGCCUGCCUGAUGGCGCACCAAGAAAAUGGUUUAGGUAUCCCCCGGUGGUGGUCAAGGGUUUUAGCCUGGUGGUGCUAGAAUGGUGUGAGGUUUGAGCAUUAGCAAAGGAGAGGGGAUAAUGGGAAGAUUUGG